rnacentral:tRNA from 1 species
CCAGCGGGUGAUCGACCGGUACUGGGACGCCGCCGCUUUCCGGGCGGCGCUGGCGUCGGAGAAGCAGCACCGGGCGGUUCUGCGGCGCCUCGCCGCG